CCCGCCGCGCGCGGCGGGCGGGGCGGGGGCACGGGGGGCCUACGGGAGGCAGCAGUGAGGAAUAUUGGACAAUGGCCGAGAGGCUGAUCCAGCCAUGCCGCGUGCGGGAGGACGGCCCUAUGGGUUGUAAACCGCUUUUGUUGGGGAGCAAUAAGGUCUACGUGUAGACUGAUGAGAGUACCCAGCGAAUAAGCAUCGGCUAACUCCGUGCCAGCAGCCGCGGUAAUAAU
rnacentral:rRNA from 1 species